AACGAACGCUGGCGGCAGGCCUAACACAUGCAAGUCGAGCGCCCUUUCGGGGGAGCGGCGGACGGGUGAGUAACGCGUGGGAAUAUGCCCUUCUCUACGGAAUAGCCUCGGGAAACUGAGAGUAAUACCGUAUACGCCCUGUGGGGGAAAGAUUUAUCGGGGAAGGAUUAGCCCGCGUUGGAUUAGGUAGUUGGUGGGGUAAUGGCCUACCAAGCCGACGAUCCAUAGCUGGUUUGAGAGGAUGAUCAGCCACACUGGGACUGAGACACGGCCCAGACUCCUACGGGAGGCAGCAGUGGGGAAUCUUAGACAAUGGGGGCAAUCCUGAUCUAGCCAUGCCGCGUGAGUGAUGAAGGCCUUAGGGUUGUAAAGCUCUUUCAGCUGGGAAGAUAAUGACGGUACCAGCAGAAGAAGCCCCGGCUAACUCCGUG
rnacentral:rRNA from 1 species